rnacentral:ncRNA from 2 species
UUCUUAUCCAGAGAGGCGGAGGGACUGGCCCUUUGAUGCCCGGCAACCAUUCAAUCAAUUUAUUAUUAAUUGGAACGGUGCCAAUUCCUGCAAGGUGAAGACCUUGGGAGAUGAGAG